rnacentral:rRNA from 1 species
UCGACCUGAGCUCAGGCAAGAACACCCCUCUG